rfam:gamma proteobacterium HdN1, complete genome.
GCUCAUAUAGCUCAGUAGGUAGAGCACUUCCUUGGUAAGGAAGAGGUCACCGGUUCGAAUCCGGUUAUGAGCU